AGAGUAGUCCAGGUGAUCGCUGGCGUCAGGGACUUGCCGUCCCUGGACGCUGGAGGAAAGUCCGAGCUCCGCAGGGCAGGGUGCUUCGUAACACGAAGUCGUGGUGACGCGAAGGAAAGUGCCACAGAAAGAAAACCGCCUGACAAGGGUUCGCCCUAAGGUAAGGGUGAAAAGGUGCGGUAAGAGCGCACCAGUUCUUCGGGUGACCGGAGAAGCUUGGUAAACCCCACCCGGAGCAAGACCAAAUAGGAGAGCGUUUGAGGGUUGCCCGUCCAAGGCUUUCGGGUUGGUCGCGAGAGGUGUCGAGCAAUCGGCAUCCUUAGAUGAAUGAUCAUCGUUCCGUUGAGGGUGACUGAUACGGAAAACAGGACUCGGCUUACGGACUGCUCUGACA
rnacentral:RNase_P_RNA from 1 species